rnacentral:rRNA from 1 species
UACGUAGGGUGCGAGCGUUGUCCGGAAUUAUUGGGCGUAAAGGGCUCGUAGGCGGUUUGCCGCGUCGGGAGUGAAAACACCGGGCUUAACUCGGUGCUUGCUUUCGAUACGGGCAGACUAGAGGCAUGCAGGGGAGAACGGAAUUCCUGGUGUAGCGGUGAAAUGCGCAGAUAUCAGGAGGAACACCGGUGGCGAAGGCGGUUCUCUGGGCAUGUCCUGACGCUGAGGAGCGAAAGUGUGGGGAGCGAACAGG